rnacentral:lncRNA from 1 species
AGAAUUGCAUGAGUCGAUUCCUUACAAUCUAUCAGUCGAUUGAUUGGUCUAUCUCCCAUUGGUUCUGUUUCUCAGGAGAACCCUGACUAAGGCACAGAGGUUGUGCUUGGAAAGUGCUUUCCAGCUGGACUCUUUUCUCUGUUUCAUAUUUAUCUAAAUGAAUCACACCCACCACAUGGACCUUAUAGAAAAACAAAAAAUUUGUGCAUCGCAGAGGCAGAAGAAUAUGAUCUUAGAUUUUUCCUCGAUUGAGUCUGCAUUCUUCUAAAAUGUGGUGGUUGAGAAAAAGGCUGAAGAAAUAGUCCCGAUAAAAGGAGAUGAAACAGCGGGUGCCUGGCUGGCUGCAUUGGUGGAGCACGAGACUCUGGAUCUGGUGGUUGUUGAGUUUGAGCCCAAAGCUGGAUGUAGAG